rnacentral:rRNA from 1 species
UACGUAGGGUGCGAGCGUUGUCCGGAAUUACUGGGCGUAAAGAGCUCGUAGGGGGUUUGUCGCGUUGUCCGUGAAAACUCACAACUCAAUUGUGGGCGUGCGGGCGAUACGGGCAGACUGGAGUACUGCAGGGGAGACUGGAAUUCCUGGUGUAGCGGUGGAAUGCGCAGAUAUCAGGAGGAACACCGGUGGCGAAGGCGGGUCUCUGGGCAGUAACUGACGCUGAGGAGCGAAAGCAUGGGGAGCGAACAGG